rnacentral:rRNA from 1 species
CCUACGGGAGGCAGCAGUGGGGAAUAUUGGGCUAUGGGCGCAAGCCUGACCCAGCCAUGCCGCGUGAAGGAAGAAGGCUUUCGGGUUGUAAACUUCUUUGACAGGGGAAGAGCAGAAGACGGUACCCUGAAAACAAGCCACGGCUAACUACGUGCCAGCAGCCGCGGUAAUACGGUGGUGGCAAGCGUUGUCCGGAUUUACUGGGUGGAAAGGGCGGGUAGCCGGGAAGGCAAGUCAGAUGUGAAAUCUGGAGGCUCAACCUCCAAAUUGCAUUUGAAACUGUUUAUCUUGAGUACUGGAGAGGCAGACGGAAUUCCUUGUGUAGCGGUGAAAUGCGUAGAUAUAAGGAGGAACACCAGUGGCGAAGGCGGUCUGCUGGACAGCAACUGACGGUGAGGCGCGAAAGCGUGGGGAGCAAACAGGAUUAGAUACCCGGGUAGUC